GAUAAGAACGUAGCGAAAUGCGAUAAGUAAUGUGAAUUGCAGAAUUCAGUGAAUCAUCAAAUCUUUGAACGCACAUUGCGCCCGCUAGUAUUCUGGCGGGCAUGCCUGUUCGAGCGUCAUUUCAACCAUCAAGCCCUGUUUAGGCUUGUGUUGGGGCCCUGCGGCUGCCGCAGCCCCCUAAAUGCAGUGGCGGGCUCGUUGUCACUCCGAGCGCAGUAGCGUAUCUCGCUCUGGGCGUGGCGGCGGGUGCUAGCCGUGAAACACCCACUAAGGUUGACCUCGGAUCAGGUAGGAAUACCCGCUGAACUUAAGCAUAUCAAUAAGCGGAGGA
rnacentral:misc_RNA from 1 species